rnacentral:lncRNA from 1 species
UCGAAGUUACUAAUUACGCAACCAUUCUGGUCUCAUGUCCUAUGUGUCAUUUUAUAAAGUUUUAAAACACACACACACACACACAAAAAUCAAAUAUAAACACCGACCAUCCCUAAUGCAAGUGAUAAAGAACUUGACUGUUCAUACUUGAGGUCCUAAGUUUGAAACUUGUUGUUUUACAUUUUCAGCUAAAUUUAUUUUAUUUUUAAAAAAAAUAUAAACAAAACAGCAGCAUGCUACUAUUUUCUCAAAAAAAAAAUCAAAUAAAAUCUCAUCCUAUUAUCAGGAUC